UGCAAGUCGAACGGCAGCACGGGUAGCAAUCCUGGUGGCGAGUGGCGAACGGGUGAGUAAUGUAUCGGAACGUACCAUUCAGUGGGGGAUAACGUAGCGAAAGUUACGCUAAUACCGCAUAUUCUGUGCGCAGGAAAGCAGGGGAUCGCAAGACCUUGCGCUGAUUGAGCGGCCGAUAUCAGAUUAGCUAGUUGGUGAGGUAAAGGCUCACCAAGGCGACGAUCUGUAGCGGGUCUGAGAGGAUGAUCCGCCACACUGGAACUGAGACACGGUCCAGACUCCUACGGGAGGCAGCAGUGGGGAAUUUUGGACAAUGGGGGCAACCCUGAUCCAGCCAUGCCGCGUGAGUGAAGAAGGCCUUCGGGUUGUAAAGCUCUUUCGGCCGGGAAGAAAUCGUAUGGGUUAAUACCCUGUGCGGAUGACGGUACCGGCAUAAGAAGCACCGGCUAACUACGUGCCAGCAGCCGCGGUAAUACGUAGGGUGCGAGCGUUAAUCGGAAUUACUGGGCGUAAAGCGUGCGCAGGCGGUUUUGUAAGACAGGCGUGAAAUCCCCGGGCUCAACCUGGGAACU
rnacentral:rRNA from 1 species